rnacentral:tRNA from 1 species
UUUUAGGUAGUAUAGUGGUUAGUUUUCGUACCUGUCAUGCGUGAGACCGGGGUUCAAUCCCCUGCCUGAGAG